rnacentral:rRNA from 1 species
GACAGAGGGUGCAAACGUUGCUCGGAAUCACUGGGCAUAAAGCGCACGUAGGCUGUUUUCUAAGUCCGAUGUGAAAUCCCCCGGCUCAACCGGGGAACUGCAUCAGAUACUGGAAAACUGGAGAGUUGUAGGGGUGGACGGAACUCCAGGUGGAGCGGUGAAAUGCGUAGAUAUCUGGAGGAACACCGGAGGCGAAAGCGGUCCACUGGGCAACUUCUGACGCUGAGGUGCGAAAGCUAGGGUAGCAAACGGG